rnacentral:lncRNA from 1 species
GAAUGAAGUGAACUGCACUAGAGGUCAAGGUAUUAUGCCGUGCCAAAUGACAGGACAUCAUAAAACCGCCAAGUCAUUGUCCACUGUGGGCAUGUGGCACAUUUUCUCUCUGUCCAUCCGGCGAUGGGCUCUUCGACGAUCCAGCCUGGCUUCUUCCAGUAAGUAACUGCUUAGUGAAUGGAGCUCACCCGACAGUUCACCCGGGCAGUUAAACCAGUCCUGUGCCGUCAGGCCAGCACAAUCCAGCCACCAUCCCCAGUGUCCUCUGUGCAGAGCGGCUUCUAAAAUAACAUGAGUUCAAAGAGCUUCCAGGGAAUAUUUUUACAAUCUGUUCCACCGGAUGACAGAGGGAAAGGGGCCUCAGCUGGUGAUGUUUGUCUCCUUAAUCA